rnacentral:lncRNA from 1 species
AGAGAUGUAACAUAAUAUAUAUAUAUACAUAUAUGAGGGGUUGGGGGAGUCCUGUCGCAGGAGCGGUGGCACCUCCGGCCUCUGUGUAGAAAAGAUGCCGCAAGUGCCAUCAUCCUAUGACAAGACACACCUGUAACUUCUCUCUUCUCAAGAAAUAUUUUACUGGAGUUCCAACUUUAUGCUUUUUGUUUCCUUUGGCUGUAUGCAAUGUAAGUAGCUAGUCUCUCUUUGGUUGCUGAUCAGAAGAACAUCAAUUUCUUCUUCUUCUUCUACUUGCUCCCGGCCUUUGUAUGAUCUUCUUCUUGUAAAAUGUGUACACAUAUACCAUCUUCUUGGAAAAUUGUUUUCUCUCUAUCCGUGCUUUCUGCUAUUGUUAUUUUAAUGAUCUGCUUUGUUAUUGGAAAAUACAAUAUGACAUUUGUUUUUCAUUUCUUUGUUACAGCUCUUAUUUAUUAUUGCAAUGUACAGUGAAGGUAAGAAUUAGCCUUAAUCAAACUAUACUCUUUCAAAUUAAAUCUUAUAGUCUCUAAUUUCUAUUAGUUCCUUUGUAGCUGCUUGCCUGCAUCAUUAUCUCCUCCCAGUUGCAAAUGCUUUAUUUUAUGUUAAACAUAGUUUACUUGUAUUUCUGAUUGUUUCUUUGAAGGUAUGUAUAGUUGCUUCAAUAGGUAAAACUUAUUUAUUUUAUUACUGGUUUUGCACCAAUAGUUUAUCUACUGAUAUAUAUUAUAUAUAGAUUGAUUUCUUGACUUUGUCAAGCUAGAUUAUCCGUCUUCAGAUAUAUAUUUUUGAAUUUGAUCAAUCCAGCUUGAAGAUAUGGUUGGCUGUCAAAGAAGAUAUUGGAAUUGAUGGCUAAGACUUAAUUCAUCAUUUUGUAUUACGUUUCAUUUCAUCAUCCACGUGAUGUCAAAUGGAUGAGAUUUAUAUAUAUACAAGAGUUUCUGAAAAUGUUUUUUUAUUUUUAUUUUUAUUAUUAUGUUUUAGAUUAAAGUUAAUUAAUCAUUAUUUGUGUACUAUCUGUUGACAACUUAUGCUAUUAACAAAUUAUGAAAUCAUAUAUGGAAGUUAAUUAAUAGUAAAUUGAUGUGAUAUCGAGAUGAUUAAGCCUCUCUAAAAGAUUUAAAUUUGUUUAGUACUAUAUAUACAUAUAAUUUAAUCACCUAUUUUUUUUAUUACAGCUAUUUUCUAAUAAACAAAUACACAUAAGGUUGGCGUUUAAGGUUGUGAUUAAGUUAAUUUAAACACUUGAAUCAGAUAAAGAGACAGAAGGAUUCUACCGUCCAAGUGGCUACCUGCCAGACAUAUGUAGACUACUAUCAAUUCCUCUUUAUGAUCUAGGAUGUGACUUUUUUUUUUCUUUUAAUUAGAAAUGUUAAUCAGUAAUUAAUUAGUGAGACAGUUAUUGAAAGGGGGAAAAACUAGAAAGGGGUAUAAAUUAGGGACUCUGUUUUUGGUCAGAUGGCAAUUACUGCUAAUUGCAAGAUUCCUUAAUCCCCGUCAGGGAAGAGAUGUCUUUUACCCUCUCUAUCUGUAUGCAAAGUAUUUUUCUUUAUUAGCUUGUAAUUACAAAUUUCGCAAGACAGACAAGACAGUCUAUCAACUAAAAAAAUUCAUCACUAUACUUUUUGCAGCGCCUGCGCCCUUCAGCAAUUUGGAAUCAAGUCGGUGCUUUGACUACACAAAAAAGCAUUAAAGCAAAUACCUGAUCAGUCCAUUUUUCAUGGAAAACAGAAAUCACAAUACUGUGGAAAUGUAGUGGAGUUGCAAGAUUAUAGAAGUUUCCAGGAACCAUGGUCAAGAACACUCGUUAUCAAAAUAAAACCUGACAACAUUAGCACCCAGGAAUUUCCAUGACGGGCAU